rnacentral:rRNA from 1 species
GAUGAACGCUGGCGGCGUGCCUAAUACAUGCAAGUCGAGCGAACAGACGAGGAGCUUGCUCCUCUGACGUUAGCGGCGGACGGGUGAGUAACACGUGGAUAACCUACCUAUAAGACUGGGAUAACUUCGGGAAACCGGAGCUAAUACCGGAUAAUAUAUUGAACCGCAUGGUUCAAUAGUGAAAGACGGUUUUGCUGUCACUUAUAGAUGGAUCCGCGCCGCAUGAGCUAGUUGGUAAGGUAAAGGCUUACCAAGGGAACGAGGCGUAGCCGACCUGAGAGGGUGGUCGGCCACACUGGAACUGGAACACGGUCAAGACUCCUACGGGAGGGAGCAGUAGGGAAUCGUCCGCAAUGGGCGAGAGCUUGACGGAGCAACGCCGCGUGAGUUAUGAAGGUCUUCGGAUCGUAAAACUCUGUUAUGAGUGAAGAACAAAUGUGGAAGUAACUGUGCACGUCUUGACGGUAACGAAUCAGAAAGCCACGGCUAACUACGUG